UUAUCCAUAUGGCUCAAAACAAAUUGAUUUCUUUGCACAAGAUCAGCUUAUUGAUCUGGCUCAACGAGUUCUAUACCAAUUAAAAAUGCUUGUCUAUUUUACAGGCCUUUUUUUUUUUUUUUUUUUUGUGUUUUACCUAUAUCAAGAAAGCUUGAGAGUUUGAAAAUUCCACAUAAACCUAUAUCUGAUUCAUGGACCAAACCAUUCUCAGUUAUCUCCCGGAAAUGAACACCAACAAUACUUAUCGUUUUUAAAUUGCCUCCAAAUCCAAUAAUUAUAGUAGUAGUACUGCCUUAUUAGCUAGCACCGGAAAGCCAAUUACCCACAAAAAAAAAAAAGGAAAAAAAAAGAAGGUUUUUAACUUUUUAUACGAAAAAAGGAGGAAGAUUCAUAGAUACAAAUAUAUAAGUAUAUAAUUGCAUUGUUGAAAAUAUAUAUAGUUAGCACACGUGAAAAGGGAAGAUUCAUAAGAGCUUGUAAAACUUGUAAUGUAGUGUGUAUAGGUGUUGGAAACGAAUUGCAUUUAAAAAAAAAAAAAAAAAAAAAAAAGGGGAAAAAGCAAAGGGAGAGAAAGAGAAGAGAUAAGGGGACAGAAAGAGAGGAAAUAUUAGAGGAAAGUGGAGCCACUGUGCAGGGAGCCAAUAAAGAGAGCUUCUUCUCCUUCCUGGAAGGUGCAUGGAAUCGAAGUAUCUUUUCUGCACAACGUGUACAUAAAACAAGACUCACUUUUCCAAAUUAUUACAGUUAGACCUGUAAAUCUAUGAGUACAUCAGCCAUAGACAUAGCCUAUAUAAGCUUUAGUGACCUAGUCAUAUAAAAUUGUACAAGGUAGAUCGUUCACAUGUCCACUUUAACUUGUGGGGUUGCAAAUGCAUCUUUUUAUUUAGUUAUUAAUUAAAAGUGAUAUGGGAAAGCGACUUAACUGCUGUUUGUUGUUUUCAACUUUAAUUUAUAUAUUAUUAAUAUGUAAAAAGAGGAAGAAUAAUAUAAUCGAAAACAAACACGUGUUAAGACAAUAAUUGGUCCAAUUCUAGUAACUUCUUAAUAUUAUAGACUGUUAUUUUUAUUUUUUUAAUUUUAUUAUCAUCACUUUGCGACAUUGAUAGCGAAGAAGUGUAUGAUGGGCCACGUUAUUUGAUUUUAUAAUCUCUUUUUCUUUUUCGUCUUAUCACAAAAACAAAACAAAAAAAGAAAAAAAGAAAA